CUACUGGGGUAUCUAAUCCUGUUCGCUCCGCACACUUUCGCUCCUCAGCGUCAGGUAAUGCCCAGAGAACCGCCUUCGCCACCGGUGUUCCUCCUGAUAUCUGCGCAUUUCACCGCUACACCAGGAAUUCCGUUCUCCCCUGCAUACCUCCAGUCUGCCCGUAUCGAAAGCAAGCGCCGUGUUAAGCACGGCGUUUUCACUCCCGACGCGACAAACCGCCUACGAGCCCUUUACGCCCAAUAAUUCCGGACAACGCUCGCACCCUACGUAUUACCGCGGCUGCUGGCAC
rnacentral:rRNA from 1 species